rnacentral:tRNA from 2 species
GGGGGAGUAGCUCAGCUGGCAGAGCAAUUGCCUUGCACGCAAUAGGUCGUCGGUUCGAAUCCGAUCUCCUCCACCA